CAUAUGGAACUGACAGUUGUCUUUAUGCAUAACAUAUAAAAUAACACUUACAAGAAGAACAUAGCAAAACAAUGUCCUUUUUGUGAACAGGGGCCUAACUAUAAACUUUAUUGCUUUACCAGAAAUACAUUAUUAAAUAUGUCUCUGAAGCCUGGCUUUGAUCCUGUUCCUCUCUUCCCUGGAAUUGUUAGAUCCUGUUUCUGUAUCCAUUGUACAAGACAGUUUAAAAAAAAGAAAACAGUGAAAACAUCUGAAACGUAGUGUAUGGGAUUCAGCUGGAGCUGGUAGAGGUGAUGAUGUCCUCAGGAUCCCUCUCUCUGGCCUGGUCUGGUCAGAAUCAGGAUGACACAGGCUCAGGGUCCCAGAAGAUGGUGAGAGACCAGCCAUGAUGCUCUGGCGUGAAUAUUGAAAGGCUGUAUUGCACUGUCACACAAACCAGAACCACCAAUGGAGCUAGCUGCUGAUCUUGCUGGAGUCAUGACACUAGUGACGAAGACAUGAAAAUGAUUAAUGAACGAUGAAAAUUCAUUCACUUCUUCUCCACGGAAAAUCUUGAUUUGUACACGAUUACUACUACUAUUCUGUUUUCAAAUGAAUUAUAAAUUCAUUAUAGAUCGUGUAGAUUGCCCGAUAGUUAAGGUUGCCCAACACUUCCCAUUAUAAGACCCUGUUUUCAGGGGGCUGUGAUAUUGCCAAACUGAAACCAUAAAGGGUGAAAUUUCCUAUGUCAGGUAUCUGCCUCAGGCUGACUUCUUUUUUUUUUUUUUUUUAAAGUUUCAGCUUUAAAGAAAUAGUCAUUUCCAAGAAUGAGAUUAUUUUUAACAUAGGCAAAUAUAUUUCACUAAUCUUACAACAGUUUUGUUGAGAGGCUUUUGUGUCUACAUGCUCUGGAGCAACAGCUUGAAAUUUGGUAGGGGAGUCACCCUAGGGUCAGACAUGUGAUUCUUGCCAUUCCUGUGAAAAUCCAUUCAAAUUUGACCAGGUUAUAAACUUCUGAACAAUCUCAGUUCCCACUUGGCAGCUAAAUUCAUGGAAGAUUCCAUCUGCACUGAGCAUGCUCCAUCACUUCACAACUCCUGUGUGCUCAGUGGGCUCUGCAUAUGCCAUCCCCAUAUGGUGACAGCAUGUUUCAGACCAUUUCAGGGCUGAUAGGAUUUUCCAUGCAGUAUAUUAUUCCUCCCAGCAGCUAGGGACCACUGUGGCUCCAACCACUGAAACUGAGAACAGGGAUACUGUCUUUCCUGUGCUCUCAAUACUUCUCCUGUUGGUGACCAGCAGGCUGUGAGGAGGAGAAAGUGGGCACAGACUUCUUGUUCUUGUGUCUUUCCAUCACAAUCAUAGUUUUUCCAGUGUUGGGCACAUGACAUGGCCUGGUUUAUAGAACUGGCAAGAUUUUCCAUGGUCAACCCUUUCCUCCAGGAGUCGGCAGACCAACAGAUGUUCUACGCUUUGUGUGUCACUGCAGUCACAUAUAUUUGGGUCAUUGGAAUAGCUCCACAUCUGCAUAUUGACUUUUGACCUGCCAACUCUUGUUUGGAGAUGAUUUAAAUAUCUUCAACUCUAUCAAUCUUUCUCUGCACCUGUGGAAAGGCAUUUGGCAGUAUCAGUGUGCAUUUUGAUGUCCUCAUUGAGUUUUUUGAGCUGUGUGCACCACAUUUCCAGUUGUGCAGA